UGUUUCUACUACAUGGUCAUGAAUCAAAGUGAACAACAAAGAUACAAAUAUGAGAUGGAUGUAUUGACACUUGUCAUUUGAAGUUAAGUACGAGGCUGUUUGAUCAGUGGUGUGUAACCAGCUAUGAAGUGGCCAUAACCAACGUCACUUACCAUCGAUAUUAUGUACUUACAAGGACUAGUGCAGAAACUGCACAUAGAAAAGAGAGAGACGAAUGUGUUACAGUUCAUCAGGAAUUACUGAAGUAAAUAAUUCCACCCAAUUCUGAAAAAGAAAAAGCCUCAUCAGGAAUUUUUUAUAAAAUCUGCAAACCAACAAAAUGAAAGCCUAUCUAGAACUGACCUGAUGCAAAGUGGUGGACCUUUUGCAGUCACCAUGAUGGAUACCUAAAAUGUCACCAUGGCAACACAUUUGCUGGUGCUAGGAUAGUUGUCGUGGCUACAGUCUGGAGCGUGGAUGCAAGAUGCCUGGACACCAGACCUGGUAAGUGCUACUGGAGAUGGUACGUGGACUGUGGACUUUAGUACACCGUAUGUUUUAGUCUGAGAUUAUUCAGUGGUCUGUGUCCAGUCACUGUCAUUUAUCAUGCAAUUUAAAAAUAUCGGCAAUGCACUACAAAUGAGAAGAUGUGUGGCUUAUAAAGUCUGUUUGAAUACCAGUGGGGUUUUUUCGUUCAAAUUCUUGGUAGGUAUUGGGAUCCAUUCCCAAUUAAAAAAAGUAUACAUGUAUAUCUUUUUCCAAAUGGGAACUUAAAAGUUCUAAUCAAAGUUUUUUCACACACAAAAAUAUUAAUUAAUUAUUUCUGUAAGACCUUAACAUUAAGUUCAGCUUCCAUCAAGCUCUUUGACUUGAACUUAGUAAAAAUUACAUUGAAACCACUUUUAUUCUCAAUUUAAAGUAUUUAUUAGCAAAGCAAGAGAAAUUGUCUUAAGAAAGCAUGAAUUGUAAAUUGUACAUAGCUGCAUUUUAUGACUAUCUUUACAAGUAAAUACACCCACAUAACUGAAUACCAGGAUUUAUUACCUUUUCAUUUUUGUCUUACUUAAAAGAUUAAAAUACACAGUUAAGAUGUUUACAUGCCCAAACUGUUGCUCAAACAAUGUUUAGGGCAUGUUAAGUUUGAACAUGCAUGCCCCACUUACUUGCCUUCUUUUCUUUAAAAAUUCUUCAAAGAGUCUCUAUGGAAUAUUGUUAAUGAAUGCAGUGUUUUUCUCACCAUUUUAGGAAUGGGGCCAGGUUGCUUCAGAUUGGGAACAAUUGCGGCGUUUUGACUAAAAUUUGGAAAUUCAUAUUGUUGUUGUAUCGCUACAAAUGCUUCAAAAUUGAGAAUACAGGAGUUUCCAGUAUUAUAUUUACUAAGGUUGAACUUACAUGGA